rnacentral:rRNA from 1 species
AGCGAACACUGGCGGCAGGCUUAACACAUGCAAGUCGAGCGGGCACUUCGGUGUCAGCGGCAGACGGGUGAGUAACACGUGGGAACGUACCCUUUGGUUCGGAAUAACGCUGGGAAACUAGCGCUAAUACCGGAUACGCCCUUUUGGGGAAAGGCUUGCUGCCGAAGGAUCGGCCCGCGUCUGAUUAGCUAGUUGGUGGGGUAAUGGCCUACCAAGGCGACGAUCAGUAGCUGGUCGGAGAGGAUGAUCAGCCACACUGGGACUGCGACACGGCCCAGACUCCUACGGGAGGCAGCAGUGGGGAAUAUUGGACAAGGGGCGCAAGCCUGAUCCAGCCAUGCCGCGUGAGUGAUGAAGGCCUUAGGGUUGUAAAGCUCUUUUGUCCGGGACGAUAAUGACGGUACCGGAAGAAUAAGCCCCGGCUAACUUCGUG